AUUGAACGCUGGCGGUAUGCUUAACACAUGCAAGUCGAACGGUAACAGGUCUUCGGACGCUGACGAGUGGCGGACGGGUGAGUAACGCGUAGGAAUCUGCCUAUUAGUGGGGGACAACAUGUGGAAACGCAUGCUAAUACCGCAUACGCCCUACGGGGGAAAGGAGGGGACCUUCGGGCCUCUCGCUAAUAGAUGAGCCUGCGUUAGAUUAGCUAGUUGGUGGGGUAAAGGCCUACCAAGGCGACGAUCUAUAGCUGUUCUGAGAGGAAGAUCAGCCACACUGGGACUGAGACACGGCCCAGACUCCUACGGGAGGCAGCAGUGGGGAAUAUUGGACAAUGGGCGCAAGCCUGAUCCAGCAAUACCGCGUGUGUGAAGAAGGCCCUAGGGUUGUAAAGCACUUUCAAUGGGGAGGAAAAAGAGUAAGCUAAUACCUUGCUUAUUGACAUUACCCAUACAAGAAGCACCGGCUAACUCCGUGCCAGCAGCCGCCGUAAGAC
rnacentral:rRNA from 1 species